rnacentral:rRNA from 1 species
CGGGUGAGUAACGCGUGAGUAACCUGCCUUUCAGAGGGGGAUAACGUUCUGAAAAGAACGCUAAUACCGCAUAAGAUUGUAGUUUCGCAUGGAGCAGCAAUCAAAGGAGCAAUCCGCUGAAAGAUGGACUCGCGUCCGAUUAGAUAGUUGGCGGGGUAACGGCCCACCAAGUCGACGAUCGGUAGCCGGACUGAGAGGUUGAUCGGCCACAUUGGGACUGAGACACGGCCCAG